GANCUGGCGGCAGGCCUAACCAUGCAAGUCGAGCGGAAACGAGUUAUCUGAACCUUCGGGGAACGAUAACGGCGUCGAGCGGCGGACGGGUGAGUAAUGCCUAGGAAAUUGCCCUGAUGUGGGGGAUAACCAUUGGAAACGAUGGCUAAUACCGCAUGAUGCCUACGGGCCAAAGAGGGGGACCUUCGGGCCUCUCGCGUCAGGAUAUGCCUAGGUGGGAUUAGCUAGUUGGUGAGGUAAGGGCUCACCAAGGCGACGAUCCCUAGCUGGUCUGAGAGGAUGAUCAGCCACACUGGAACUGAGACACGGUCCAGACUCCUACGGGAGGCAGCAGUGGGGAAUAUUGCACAAUGGGCGCAAGCCUGAUGCAGCCAUGCCGCGUGUGUGAAGAAGGCCUUCGGGUUGUAAAGCACUUUCAGUCGUGAGGAAGGUAGUGUAGUUAAUAGCUGCAUUAUUUGACGUUAGCGACAGAAGAAGCACCGGCUAACUCCGUGCCAGCAGCCGCGGUAAUACGGAGGGUGCGAGCGUUAAUCGGAAUUACUGGGCGUAAAGCGCAUGCAGGUGGUUUGUUAAGUCAGAUGUGAAAGCCCGGGGCUCAACCUCGGAAUAGCAUUUGAAACUGGCAGACUAGAGUACUGUA
rnacentral:rRNA from 1 species